CGGGACUGGCCGUACUGCGGACGCGUCGACGGGAGUUCUGUGCGAAAAGUUUCUGUGCUGUUGUGCUCUGUGUUUCUGUGCUGUGUUUGUGCUUGUUUCUAGGGACCUGAACCAGGUGUGAAAAGAUACAAAAAUGAAGACCCGUGAUGUUGUGUUGAUUACAAUACUGAGUUGUGGCGCUAUAGCUGUCCUUUUUGCUAUUGGUGCGUAUCUGUACAUACGGCGCAAGAGGAGAAAGAGACAGGACGAUGAAGAUGGCACCACUUGUACUAUAAGAGUGGACCAAUCAUCUACCGAUGGCGGACAGAAGACCAGCCGGCUCAAUGGUUUCCUGAGUCUGAAAACACCACUCAUCAGUACCAAGACUUUAGG